CUCAGAAGAUUAGAAGAUGCUUUGCUCUCCUGCUCCUGCUUGCUAGAAUGGAAGAGGUCAUCUAUUUUUAAAGUACUUGGCAGAGGCCAUACCAUCUCUAUUUGUGUCAAUUCCCAGCAGACCAGCACAGGCACUGCAGAUGUGAUACAUCGACUUCAUCACUGUCUGCUCCUCUUGGCAUGGCCAGAUCAUCAGGUUAUCUUCUACUUGCCUGUUUCCAUGGAAGUCAGCUCUCUUUGGGAUGGCUUACUUCAGCUUCAGCAGCUUUCCAGACCACAUCUGGGGGUUAACACACCACUUCCACUGAGUGUCACCUUCUUGGAGUUCAUUCAUCAAUCAUAUUUACAAGCCCAUUGUCGGACCGGCUGCCAGUGGAGCAUUCUCACACAUUUCAGCUCACAGAAACUGCAAACCAGGGCCGCUCUGCUCAGAUCUCUAAUAUUUCUGAGGAGCCAGAAGGUGCUGACAGCUCAUGGUACGCCUAUCCCAGGCAAGUGCAAGUGCCUCGACGUCCAUCUAUCUGCGGUUACUGCUGAGGGGUACAAUUACAGAGCACAUUUACCCUCUGCGAAGGAAUCCUCCCUGGAGAGGUUAGAAACGGGGAAUAAACAGCGCGUUGCAGCUGGGGGUCUGCAAAACGAGCUUCAGAAUAAUCACCCAAGCGGACUUUUUGAGUGAGCUUCUGCCACUACUGAGCCUCCCGUGACGGCAGCAGGAGCAGCUCAGGGGCGGCAGACGUGGGCCUUGGUCUUGCUUUGUGCUUUGCUGUUCCACACCCUCACUUAUUUUUCCCUUUAAGCGUGUACCUCGGGAUGGAGAACAUUAGGGAAGAACGUUCCUCCUUGGGAUUUCACAGGAGGGUGUUUCUCAGGGCGGCAGAAGGAAGCAGCUCCCAGCACCCAAGGCGACACAUUGUCACCACAGCCCUGCUUGCAUCCGAGCCCAUUGUCAACCAAAGGAACUCGAAAAUUAUGGUCAUUUAUCUACCCCCUUCUUUACCCCCCACCGUGCCUCUUUUGGCAGGGCAGCCAAGCAGUUUGCAUUGUUUCAAGCUUAAUGCUUGCAGAUGGUUUUAUUUAGAAUUCGUUUUAUUGGUGA
ensembl:lncRNA